rnacentral:rRNA from 1 species
GGAUUCCCCUAGUAACUGCGAGUGAAGCGGGAAAAGCUCAAAUUUAAAAUCUGAUGGUCUUUUUGGCUGUCCGAGUUGUAAUCUAGAGAAGUGCUACCCGCGCUGGACCGUGUACAAGUCUCCUGGAAUGGAGCAUCAUAGAGGGUGAGAAUCCCGUCUUUGACAUGGACUUACCAGGGCUUUGUGGUGCGCUCUCAAAGAGUCGAGUUGUUUGGGAAUGCAGCUCAAAAUGGGUGGUAAAUGCCAUCUAAAGCUAAAUAUUGGCGAGAGACCGAUAGCGAACAAGUACCGUGAGGGAAAGAUGAAAAGAACUUUGGAAAGAGAGUUAAACAGUACGUGAAAUUGCUGAAAGGGAAACGCUUGAAGUCAGUCACAUUGGCUGGAAAUCAACCUUUGCUUUUGCUUGGUGUACUUUCUGGCUGAUGGGUCAGCAUCAAUUUCUAUCGUUGGAUAAAGACUUGGGGAAUGUGGCAUCUUAGGAUGUGUUAUAGCCCUUGGUCGCAUACAGCGGUUGGGAUUGAGGAACUCAGCACGCCGCAAGGCCGGGCUUCGACCACGUUACGUGCUUAGGAUGCUGGCAUAAUGGCUUUAAUCGACCCGUCUUGAAACACGGACCAAGGAGUCUAACAUGCCUGCGAGUGUUUGGAUGGAAAAUCCAUGCGCGCAAUGAAAGUGAAAGGUUGAGAUCCCUGUCGUGGGGAGCAUCGACGCCCGGACCAGACCUUUUGUGACGGAUCCGCGGUAGAGCAUGUAUGUUGGGACCCGAAAGAUGGUGAACUAUGCCUGAAUAGGGUGAAGCCAGAGGAAACUCUGGUGGAGGCUCGUAGCGAUUCUGACGUGCAAAUCGAUCGUCAAAUUUGGGUAUAGGGGCGAAAGACUAAUCGAACCAUCUAGUAGCUGGUUCCUGCCGA